GAAAAAGACAAGUGGAAGGCAUACGAGGAAGUUUGCGAGAAUUUCAGGCCUGUCAUGCAUUAUUUUUUCUUGGAGAGAUUCUUCCAGCCUGCUAACUAGUUCGAAAAGAGACUUGCAUACACUCGAAGUGUGGCUGCUAGUUCAAUGGUUGGUUAUAUUGUUGGUCUUGGAGAUCGACAUUCUAUGAAUAUCUUAAUCGAUCAAGCUACUGCAGAAGUUGUUCAUAUAGAUCUUGGUGUUGCCUUUAAGCAAAGGCUUGAUGCUCAAGACACCAGAACGGGUUCCGUUCAGGCUUACAAGAGACAUCAUUGAUGGCAUGGGAGUUACAGGUGUUGAAGGGGUUUUCAGAAGGUGUUGUGAAGAAACUCUUUCUGUUAUGAGGACAAAUAAAGAAGCUUUAAUGACCAUUGUUGAAGU